GAUCUAUGGACUGGAAUUGUAGCCUAAUGCAAAUUUUCUUGGAGGAAAUGUUGUUAUUCCUCAAACCUGAGGAUAUAAUGUGCAACAUGGGAAAUGAACGAACGUUCUUCUUAGAGUAAAUCUUUGGAGUCUCUUGACUAGAAGUUUGAUGGUUGCAGUCUAUUAGGCUCUCAGAUGAGAGGGUUAAUUAGAUUAUUAUCUUCGGAAAGAGAGGGUUAAUUAGAUUAUUGUCUUCAGAAAGAACUUCAGAUGAGAGGGUUAAUUGAAAAGAAGUAUAUGUUUUAUUCUUCCCAACAAUGUAAUGGACGUUGUCUUUAAUUCCUGAGGGAAGAGUCUGGACCUAGAAGUCACAUUUUCAGUCUUGUCCUGUCCACCAAGGCCCUUAAAGAGCUUAGUUUUAGAGAGAGUUGUUGGUCAGAAAACAACCUUGUAUGAGCUUUUGGCUUGUGAUUGUUACAAAAGGUACAUCCUCCAAAAUGACAUUUGUCUGUGUAUUUGUAUCAUAUGAAAAAGGGACACAGAACUGGCUAGCCUCCUUUUAGUUAUCAGCUCAAUAUAUGAGUUUGCUACAGUCUGAGUAAUAAAUGCAUAUUGGAUGUUUUUGAAUAAAAUUUCAAGGAAUAUCCAUUUGGAUGUCAUUAAGUUGCAGUUUUAGAUGUUGGACUGUUGUAAAAUUUGGG
rnacentral:lncRNA from 1 species